GAAAGACAAUCGCUGACGGUGUUAGCCGUUUGAGGAAAGUCCGGGCUCCAUAGGGCAGUGUGCUGGAUAACGUCCAGCGGGGGUGACCCUAGGGAAAGUGUCAUAGAAAAGGAAACCGCCUGCUAAAGAGUUGUCAUUGCAUGACAGUUUCUUGACCAGGUAAGGGUGGAAAGGUGCGGUAAGAGCGCACCAGCAGUCAGGUGACUGGCUGGCUUGAUAAACCCCACAUGGAGCAAGACCGAAUAGGGAAGGAUAUGAAGUGGCCCGCUGACCUUCCGGGUGUGUCGCUAGAGUUGUCAGGUAACUGGCAAUCCAGAUAAAUGAUUGUCGCCGCGCAAGCGGAACAGAACUCGGCUUAUUGAUCA
rnacentral:RNase_P_RNA from 1 species